rnacentral:rRNA from 1 species
CCUACGGGUGGCAGCAGUGGGGAAUAUUGCGCAAUGGGCGAAAGCCUGACGCAGCGACGCCGCGUGAGGGAUGAAGGUCUUCGGAUCGUAAACCUCUGUCAGCAGGGAAGAACGGUCACUGUGCUAAUCAGCAGUGAAUUGACGGUACCUGCAAAGGAAGCACCGGCUAACUCCGUGCCAGCAGCCGCGGUAAUACGGAGGGUGCGAGCGUUAAUCGGAAUUACUGGGCGUAAAGCGCUCGUAGGCGGUAUGUCAAGUCAAGGGUGAAAUCCCCGCGCUCAACGUGGGAACUGCCUUUGAAACGGGCAAACUGGAGUGUGUGAGAGGGUAGUGGAAUGCCAGGUGUAGGAGUGAAAGCCGUAGAUAUCUGGAGGAACAUCAGUGGCGAAGGCGACUAUCUGGCACAUAACUGACGCUGAGGAGCGAAAGCGUGGGUAGCAAACAGGAUUAGAUACCCCGGUAGUC